rnacentral:rRNA from 1 species
UGGGGAAUAUUGCACAAUGGGCGAAAGCCUGAUGCAGCAACGCCGCGUGAGUGAUGAAGGUCUUCGGAUUGUAAAGCUCUGUCUUUUGGGACGAUAAUGACGGUACCAAAGGAGGAAGCCACGGCUAACUACGUGCCAGCAGCCGCGGUAAUACGUAGGUGGCGAGCGUUGUCCGGAUUUACUGGGCGUAAAGGGUGCGUAGGCGGAUGUUUAAGUGAGAUGUGAAAUACCCGGGCUUAACUUGGGUGCUGCAUUUCAAACUGGAUAUCUAGAAUGCAGGAGAGGAGAAUGGAAUUCCUAGUGUAGCGGUGAAAUGCGUAGAGAUUAGGAAGAACACCAGUGGCGAAGGCGAUUCUCUGGACUGUAACUGACGCUGAGGCACGAAAGCGUGGGUAGCAAACAGGAUUAGAUACCCUGGUAGUCCACGCCGUAAACGAUGAGUACUAGGUGUAGGAGGUAUCGACCCCUUCUGUGCCGCAGUAAAAC